GACGAACGCUGGCGGCGUGCUUAACACAUGCAAGUCGAACGGAAAGGCCCUGCUUUUGUGGGGUGCUCGAGUGGCGAACGGGUGAGUAACACGUGAGUAACCUGCCCUUGACUUUGGGAUAACUUCCGGAAACUGGGGCUAAUACCGGAUAGGAGCUCCUGCUGCUUGGUGUGGGUUGGAAAGUUUCGGCGGUUGGGGAUGGACUCGCGGCUUAUCAGCUUGUUGGUGGGGUAGUGGCUUACCAAGGCUUUGACGGGUAGCCGGCCUGAGAGGGUGACCGGCCACAUUGGGACUGAGAUACGGCCCAGACUGCUACGGGAGGCAGCAGUGGGGAAUAUUGCACAAUGGGCGGAAGCCGGAUGCAGCAACGCCGCGUGCGGGAUGACGGCCUUCGGGUUGUAAACCGCUUUCGCCUGUGACGAAGCGUGAGUGACGGUAAUGGGUAAAGAAGCACCGGCUAACUACGUG
rnacentral:rRNA from 1 species